AUACCGGCGGCUCGAGUGGUGGCCACUUUUAUUGGGCUUAAAGCGUCCGUAGCUGGAUUUUUAAGUCUCUUGGGAAAUCCGCCGGCUUAACCGGCGGGCGUCUAAGAGAUACUGGGAAUCUAGGGACCGGGAGAGGUGAGAGGUACUCCGGGGGUAGGAGUGAAAUCCUGUAAUCCCCGGGGGACCACCUAUGGCGAAGGCAUCUCACCAGAACGGCUCCGACAGUGAGGGACGAAAGCUGGGGGAGCGAACCGGAUUAGAUACCCGGGUAGUCCCAGCCGUAAACUAUGCGCGUUAGGUGUACUGGUGACCACGAGUCACCGGGGUGCCGAAGGGAAACCGUGAAACGUGCCGCCUGGGAAGUACGGUCGCAAGGCUGAA
rnacentral:rRNA from 2 species